rnacentral:lncRNA from 1 species
GAGCAUUUGCAUGUAACUCAUGCACAUUCUCCCACAUAUGCACUUUAAACCACCGCUAGAUUACUUAUAAUACCUAAUACAAUGUAAAUGCUGUGUAAAUAAGUUGUUAUAUUGUAUUGUUUAGAGAAUAACAAGAAAAAAAGGUUUGUACUUGUUCAGUGCAAACGCAACCAUUAUAAGCCUUUCAAUCUGCAGUUGGUUGAAUCAGCAGAUGCAGAACCAGUAGAUACAGAGGGUGAACUGUAUUUUCCUGAAGGAGAUUCCAUUGAUUUGCCCACUCAGGUUACCUGUGAAAUACGAAAGUGCAAACAGUUCAGCUGGUUCUGUUCAAGGCCCAGGUGUAUAAAGGAAAUGACAGGCAUUCCAAACAGAUAGAUGGAUGUGAGUAAGUGACAGACUCUCAAUGCAUGAUUGCACACACCAUACACGUAUUUCAAGGGCUCACAUAUAUUAUUCUUCUCUCACUUACUUUUUCCUGGUUUCUUUGAUUCUUUAAAUCUUUAUAGCACUUUUUCCUUGUCUUGAUUCUUUAUUACAGCUCUGUGAGAUAUAUUUCACAUACCAUAAAAUUCACCCAUUUAAAGUGUACAGAUCAGUGAUUUUUAGCAUAUUCACUGUUGUGGAACCAAGACCGCUAUUUAAUUUGAGAACAUCUUCGUGACCCCAAAAAGAAACCCUGUACAUAUUAGCAGUUUUUCCCCAUCCUUCAAUACCCCUGGACCCUGGCAACUGCUAAUCUAUUUUCUGUCUCUGGAUUUGCCUAUUGUGGACAUUUUACAUACAUAGAAACAUAUUAUAAGUGGUCUUUUGUGACUGUCCUCUUUUAUGCAUCAAAUGCUUUCAAGGUUCAUCCA